rnacentral:sRNA from 1 species
AAUAGUAGGCUCCAAAACCAAACGAAAACAAUGUCAGUAAAGUAAUAAAUAUAUGUAUGCAAAAAGUACAGACACAGAAAGAAAUAUGGUUUACAAUAUAAACUAAAGUGAGGCUAAUUAGAUAAAUAUGGCUGUCAAUUGCCAGAGUAAAGAGCAGUCCUGGAAGCAGAUCUGGUUCUGCACAAAUUUUUGUAUUUAAGUUCAUGUGGAAUCAUGAAAUCAUGGAAUCAUGGAAUCAUAGAUCACAAGAGUUCGAAGUAAGCACAGAAUAAGAAAAGAAAUCUUUGUUUUUCGAUAUCCAGCUCUGUGGGAACACACAAUUAAACGAAAUCGAACGAUGUGAACAUUGCAAUCUGCCACUGACAUUACGAUAACAUCUAAGAUGGGCCCAUUUCAGGAAAUAUGUUUGAAAAUAGGGGAAAGUCAAAAUUUCAAUAUUACAACAUGUAAUUAUUACUAGAUGUAAAACAAAACUUAUAAACAUAAAGAGAAACUGAUAAA